rnacentral:lncRNA from 1 species
ACAUUAAAUGCAUGAAAAUUUUGUGUGUCCUCAUUUAUUUUGUUUAACCAGCAACCUGUUACAUCUCAGUCUACGACUUCUACGCUCUGUGUGUUCCCAUGUGACUUGUUUGUCUAGAAAUCUGUUAAUGAGAUAUGGGCGUUUGGGUUGCCACCAUGACAACCAGGCCGUAUAGCUUGUUUGCUGUUUCCUAGAGACAGAGUCUCAGAAAGGAACAUCGUCCCUGCAGUUACUUAUUGAGUCCUGGGACCUGGUAGCCAUGGCAACGUGGAUCGAGAUGAUGGGAGUAAGUUGUUUACGAGGCACGCGCAGGCUGACAAGCAGCUGGCUCCGAAAGACGGCGGACCAUAUCACGACCGGUGCACUGCUCUGCAGUCGUCUGUUUAUUAAAAAGGCCUUGUUCAGUGUUCUCUCUGUUACAGGAGAGAAACCGUUUUAUCGUCAUAACUUUUCAUCCAUCCCUGAGAGGAGUUUAAUGUCUUGCUUUUAUCAGNUAGAUUUUGUGCAGUGCAUGGUGUGACCUUUUGUGGAAAUACUGAUGACAGUGUUUGCAUACCGUUGGACGAGUUUUCUCAUCAGCAGGGUUAGCCACAACACUUACUGCCCACUGUGACCCUGCACAUAGACCUGGGGAUGUGAGUUGGCACAAGAAACAGCUGUCCCAUGUAAACCUGUGGCUGAUCCAUGUUGAGGUAUGGCAGAAGCCAACACAAUGUUGUAAUCAUUCUUCAAAUCAAAGUAAAUCAAGAAAAAGAAAGCAGGGGAAAAAGUUGUUAAUCUCAGACUGUAUUGAUACAAUUGAAGGGACAGUGCAUAAGUAAAACCACCUGAACAAGAGGGUAGCCUGUGUCUAGUAGAGGAAAGUGAGAUCGUUUUGUCUACGGUGAUGAGCUUUUUAGGGUUUUCGUCACGUCAUCUUGAAGCAAGAGUAGAAGUAAGAGCAGCCUGAACGAUAGAGAACAUUGCAAGGAUAAGAAACUAGGAAACAAAUGUCUAGAAGAGCAGCAGAAACAAUGCCUAGGCUUCUGAUGUUAAAGCCGGUUGAAGCUACUAGCGAGAAGUGCAGCUGGAGGAUUGCUGUGAACGUGUAUUUUUAGUGACACAUUUUCACAAGUAGGUUUGUUUAUUUAAUAGAUUUAUUUUUGACCUCCAUUUACUUACUUGCCCACA